ensembl:miRNA eca-mir-9118 eca-mir-9118
GCUGGGAGCAAGGAGCUGGCUCCCAUCACAAUUCCCACGGACUCCAGAUACGGGAGACCUUCUGGAGGGCGGUUCGUGUACUGAGUCUCCCUGAUUGGUGAGCCAUUUCCCUUCC